GUCGCUGGCAAAGCAGGCAUCUCGACAGCAGCCGCGAGAGCAGCGGGAGAGGGGAAGGGAGGGGGGGUAAAAAAAUAAAAAAAGAGCCGGAAGCGAGAAGAGAGAGAGAGAGAGAGAGAGAAAGAUAGACGAGAUAGAAACGAGAUAGACAUAGAGAAGAGAUGUAAAAAGAGAGAAAGAGAAGUCGCGACGCGCGAAGAAAAUCCACUACACGUGUUCGCCAUUCGCCUUUUCGUGAAGACGGAAGAAAGAAGCAACAAAAAUGCAGAGAUUCAACAAAGAGAAAAUACCGCGAAUCGAGCCAAUGGAGAUAAAAUGGUCGAACGUAACGAAAGAAAGUGAUCGGAUGCAUCGCGUGUGAUAGCAUAUCGUUGCGUGUUUCGUGCGGUUCCGGUCACAUGGAUCACGUGGUAAUCGCUGCCCCUUCCUCUCCUGACCGCCAGGGGUUCCUCCGACAGGCGGUGGGGAUGUCAACCAUGAUUGGGAGAGAUGUAGAAAAGAGGAAGUGGUAGACGAUUCCUAGGAGAUGAAAGCGGACAGUGAAGGUGAGGAGGAGAAGGAGGAGGAAGAGAACAUUAUUUCACUACCGAUGAUAAUCAUGUGAGGAAAAAUAUGUGAAGCGUACCCGACUUCACCGUGUUUUCUUCUCCUGCAGGAGAGAUAGCAGCCAUGAAACGGAGGAAAGCCGGAAAGACGAUAAUCAAGAGGGAACUGCAAAUAUUCUUAACUUCAGAAGAAUAUUCUUAACUUCGAGAAACGAAUUUAUUCUUCGCGCAACUUCUGUUCCAUGAUAGAGUUUAGCGAAAUAUCUCGCGCUCGAGCAAGAAAUAAAUGUUUCAACUCACUGAGAGCUCUUAUCUUCCAACAAAAAACCCAUGAUCCUUAAGCGAUAACCACGACGGACUCGCUAAUCCGCCAAUCAAAUUAAUUGGACUGCGUACUUCCGCGCGUUGAUGAAAAAUACCGCCAAAAACAAGUCAGCUUCGGAACAUUAAUCAAGAAGAGGAUAAAAAGGUAAUAUUAACGCCAGUCGGCAACGGUGGCCGACAUCAAAGAACCUCCCCUUCCUUCCUUAUUUCUACAGCGGCGUAUUUAGAAAAUUUUUAGACUUGAAUAAAUUCCAUUUUAUUCUUGCUAAUUUCAAAAACUUUUCAGAUUUCUGUAUUAUUUCUUACGUAUUAUUAGCAUCUAGUAAAAAUAUUAGUAUAUUAUAUACAAAAUAUUAGAGUAUAAAUAUUAAUAUAAUAUAUUUUGCAGAUAAUGUGUAACACGAAAUUUCAGCUUUUAAAAUUUUUCAAAAUAAAUAUGUUUUAUUACAACUCUAUAU